rnacentral:rRNA from 1 species
GACGAACGCUGGCGGCGUGCUUAACACAUGCGAGUCGAACGGAAAGGCCUCUUUCGGGGGGUACUCGAGUGGCGAACGGGUGAGUAACACGUGAGUAACCUGCCCUUGACUUUGGGAUAACUUCAGGAAACUGGGGCUAAUACCGGAUAGGAGCUCCUGCUGCAUGGUGGGGGUUGGAAAGUUUCGGCGGUUGGGGAUGGACUCGCGACUUAUCAGCUUGUUGGUGGGGUAGUGGCUUACCAAGGCUUUGACGGGUAGCCGGCCUGAGAGGGUGACCGGCCACAUUGGGACUGAGAUACGACCCAGACUCCUACGGGAGGCAGCAGUGGGGAAUAUUGCACAAUGGGUGGAAGCCUGAUGCAGCAACGCCGUGUGCGGGAUGACGGCCUUCGGGUUGUAAACCGCUUUCGCUCAUGACGAAGCUUUGUGUGACGGUAGUGGGUAAAGAAGCACCGGCUAACUACGUG